CACUGAUGAUGGUGCUACACUUCCUGAUGUCUGGGAUGAAGGAGAGGAGGUGGCUGUGACCCCCUCCCCCAGCUCUGGUUAAGAGUGCUGGGCUCGCCUGGGGGAAGCACGCUUUGCCCAGGAUCCCCAUGAUGGACCUGGAGACAAUGGCAGGAUUUUGGUCAGUCAGCCAGCACUGUAGGAAAUAAAACAACUGUUUGACAGAUUCUUGCUUCUCAGUCCCUUUCCCAGCACCGCACUCCCCUCCCCCCAGUAAAGAGAACUUAACUGCAGGAUCCUGACGGGAAAAAUCAAACAAACCUGCCAAGCGUAGCUGAGGAGUAAUAGAAAACUACUUGGAUCUCAUGGUCCUGCCAGUUCAGGGGCUCUGUAAGAAAUCCUGCAAUAAGAGGAGUCAGUCUGCAGCCAGCCAGCCUAACGUAAGGUGGCUUGAACUGUGCCUCUCUGCUUUUUAAGGAGCAGCCUGUUUUGUGUCUCUCUGUUUUUUG